ACACAUGCAGUCGAGCGGUAGCACAGAGAGCUUGCUCUCGGGUGACGAGCGGCGGACGGGUGAGUAAUGUCUGGGAAACUGCCUGAUGGAGGGGGAUAACUACUGGAAACGGUAGCUAAUACCGCAUAAUGUCGCAAGACCAAAGUGGGGGACCUUCGGGCCUCAUGCCAUCAGAUGUGCCCAGAUGGGAUUAGCUAGUAGGUGGGGUAACGGCUCACCUAGGCGACGAUCCCUAGCUGGUCUGAGAGGAUGACCAGCCACACUGGAACUGAGACACGGUCCAGACUCCUACGGGAGGCAGCAGUGGGGAAUAUUGCACAAUGGGCGCAAGCCUGAUGCAGCCAUGCCGCGUGUGUGAAGAAGGCCUUCGGGUUGUAAAGCACUUUCAGCGGGGAGGAAGGCGGUGAGGUUAAUAACCUUGUCGAUUGACGUUACCCGCAGAAGAAGCACCGGCUAACUCCGUGCCAGCAGCCGCGGUAAUACGGAGGGUGCAAGCGUUAAUCGGAAUUACUGGGCGUAAAGCGCACGCAGGCGGUCUGUCAAGUCGGAUGUGAAAUCCCCGGGCUCAACCUGGGAACUGCAUUCGAAACUGGCAGGCUAGAGUCUUGUAGAGGGGGGUAGAAUUCCAGGUGUAGCGGUGAAAUGCGUAGAGAUCUGGAGGAAUACCGGUGGCGAAGGCGGCCCCCUGGACAAAGACUGACGCUCAGGUGCGAAAGCGUGGGGAGCAAACAGGAUUAGAUACCCUGGUAGUCCACGCCGUAAACGAUGUCGAUUUGGAGGUUGUGCCCUUGAGGCGUGGCUUCCGGAGCUAACGCGUUAAAUCGACCGCCUGGGGAGUACGGCCGCAAGGUUAAAACUCAAAUGAAUUGACGGGGGCCCGCACAAGCGGUGGAGCAUGUGGUUUAAUUCGAUGCAACGCGAAGAACCUUACCUGGUCUUGACAUCCACAGAACUUUCCAGAGAUGGAUUGGUGCCUUCGGGAACUGUGAGACAGGUGCUGCAUGGCUGUCGUCAGCUCGUGUUGUGAAAUGUUGGGUUAAGUCCCGCAACGAGCGCAACCCUUAUCCUUUGUUGCCAGCGGUUCGGCCGGGAACUCAAAGGAGACUGCCAGUGAUAAACUGGAGGAAGGUGGGGAUGACGUCAAGUCAUCAUGGCCCUUACGACCAGGGCUACACACGUGCUACAAUGGCAUAUACAAAGAGAAGCGACCUCGCGAGAGCAAGCGGACCUCAUAAAGUAUGUCGUAGUCCGGAUUGGAGUCUGCAACUCGACUCCAUGAAGUCGGAAUCGCUAGUAAUCGUAGAUCAGAAUGCUACGGUGAAUACGUUCCCGGGCCUUGUACACACCGCCCGUCACACCAUGGGAGUGGGUUGCAAAAGAAGUAGGUAGCUUAACCUUCGGGAGGGCGCUUACCAC
rnacentral:rRNA from 1 species